UACGUAGGUGGCAAGCGUUAUCCGGAAUUACUGGGCGUAAAGCGCACGCAGGCGGUCUUUUAAGUCAGAUGUGAAAUCCCCGGGCUUAACCUGGGAACUGCGUUUGAAACUGAAAGGCUAGAGUGUGGCAGAGGGGGGUGGAAUUCCACGUGUAGCAGUGAAAUGCGUAGAGAUGUGGAGGAACACCGAUGGCGAAGGCAGCCCCCUGGGCUAACACUGACGCUCAUGCACGAAAGCGUGGGGAGCAAACAGG
rnacentral:rRNA from 1 species